GAGAGAGAGAGAAUCUGCAGGGAAAAUCAUUUCAGGUACUGACUACAUGGGCAUUACUAGAAAUAUAUGGUUUAUGAUAUGUUUUCUUCUAGGGACAAGAUGGAUGAGGCUCAUGGAAGGACCAGACAACACAUGUUGACAUAGUUCAGUCUUGGUCAUGAUCUGCAUAUUUAUCCUCAGGGCCUGUUUGGUUGGGGAUAAUCUAGCAUGGGAAAAUGAUUCCCAUAUCAGAUUACCAUGUUUGGUAUAAAAAUGGGAAGAGAGAGAUGGUAAAAAAAUUGAUGGGUCCCAUGCUUAUUUUCUGGAGAGAGAAGGUAAAACAAAUACCAUGAGGAGUUGGUGUUUGAUAAAUUCCCGAGUAAUAGGAAUCUAUACUUGACAAAAAUACCCUCAAUGGGUCAUAGGUGCUAGAUAUUUCUCCCAAGGAUUUCCAAAUUAGUUCAGUCCCUUCUUUCCAUGAGAAAAGGGGAAAUCCUAAUCUUGACACCUUGCUAUCUUUCUCAAAUCCAUCCAUCAUCUAACGAAUCUUUGCUGGUUCAGUCUGGACGCCCUUCCUUGUUACUUGAUUUGGGGAUUUUUCAUCGAAGAAGCCAUAUUUUCUUUGUUCUCCGGCUCGAAGUUUGCUGCAAAUCCGCAAUCCAAAGACUUGGAGCAACUGGAGCUGGGGAGGUAAAUUUCAUUUCUUUUAUUCAAACUUCGAUAGUCAUGCUCUAAAUCUUUGAUACAAGUUUAACCAUUAGGGCAGGUGAACUCCCAUCCUUUCUUCAAAAACAUGAACUGGGAUAUGAUCGCUAAGCAGAAGGUUAUGUAACUGAAAUUCAGUUGCACCACAAUAUGUUCAGGCAAGGUUCGUGGACUCGGUACUAGAAUUUGUGCCGGUUGCCGACUGGUAUGAUACCGUGCCGUACCAUACUGAAUACUAAAAAAUCAAAAAAAAAUCCCACUCAACAGCACAAAAAAAAGAAAAAAAGAAAA